ensembl:lncRNA
AUGAGCAAGAGAGGAAGAAAGAGAACCACUUUCCCCGGCUUGCUGGUUGGGAACAGGUGGUAACCUCCUUGCUUCUUCUGUCCCCACAGCCUACUGCACCCCUGAGAAGAGAGCUUCCCCUCAAGCCCCUCAGCUCCGACUUCCCAGCCUGACAACUGUUCAGGGGAGCUCUUGCGAUGCUGCACAGGGGGCGACCAGAUUCUCAGGGCCCAAACCAGCUGCCAGGCAAGCCUCUCUCUGUUGGCUCUUCUCCGAGCUCCUGGACACUGGCAGGAUCCUUAUGACCAUCAUCUCAGACAGAAGAACAAUCAAACACAAGAUCAUUUUGGAAGGGCCCGAAGAAUACAACAUGAUAAAGAGAUUCUGAAAAUUCCAGUCGUUUUUUGACAUCCCAGUUGCCACUCCAGGAUGCGCUGUCCUCCUUACGGAUCCUGAAUGAAGCAGGAGGUGGAGGACUGGACAUGGAGAACAGGUGCCACCUUAGAGCUUCUUUUGGAAUAUCUGCCCCACAAAGGUAGAUCCCAGGAGUGUGUCCAUUGAGUUCUGUUUCAGGUGUCAGCUCCGCAAAGCCCUAAAUCCUGCCAAAUACUGUUUCUUUACUUCGAAGCUAUCAGAGGAGAGGGAAACAGAUUUUGUGGCCAAUUUUAGCCCUUUGUAAUUGACUUCCAACUCAGGAGAUGGUAGAUUUUUAUUUUUGAAAGAAGAUUCUUUUUCUCAUUAAAAAACAGUGUUUUUUUGUUUUUUUUUUUUUAAUAAAACUUUUAGAGAGGAGGUUUGAGAACA